rnacentral:tRNA from 1 species
UCUUUAGUAGUUUAAAGGUUAAAACAUUUGGCUGUUAACUAAAAUAUUAUAGGUUCAAUUCCUAUCUAAAGAG